rnacentral:lncRNA from 1 species
GUUUUGAGACACUGUGCUCUGUGCUGACUUGUAGGUGCAACCUUUCUAGUCUUCGGUCGCGAUCCACGGGAAAAUAAUGGAUGCGUGCCUUGUGACGCGCUCGUGCAUUCACACGGACAAGUUUUGUUGACCUGCACUGCACCGUUCUGCUACGAAUAAAUAUUUUUUUUCCAACGGGGCUACCCCUGGUCUGCAUUUUUUUUCCUCAACGAAUAUUUCCAAUGGAUGGUUUGUCAAUCGAGUUGCAUAAAAAGAGUUUAGUAUGCAUAACUGCUCUGCUUUUGACACACAAAGGA